rnacentral:rRNA from 1 species
AACGAACGCUGGCGGCAUGCCUAACACAUGCAAGUCGAACGAGACCUUCGGGUCUAGCGGCGCACGGGUGCGUAACGCGUGGGAACCUGCCCUUAGGUUCGGAAUAACUCCCCGAAAGGGGUGCUAAUACCGGAUAAUGUCUUCGGACCAAAGAUUUAUCGCCUUUGGAUGGGCCCGCGUCGGAUUAGCUAGUUGGUAGGGUAAAAGCCUACCAAGGCGACGUUCCAUAGCUGGUCUGAGAGGAUGAGCAGCCACACUGGGACUGAGACACGGCCCAGACUCCUACGGGAGGCAGCAGUGGGGAAUAUUGGACAAUGGGCGAAAGCCUGAUCCAGCAAUGCCGCGUGAGUGAUGAAGGCCGUAGGGUUGUAAAGCUCUUUUACCCGGGAUGAUAAUGACAGUACCGGGAGAAUAAGCUCCGGCUAACUCCGUG